GUUACUGUUCCUGAAUGGGUUACAUAAAACAACGGUGGGAGCUCUUGGACACCGUUGGGAAACCCUAACCUUAACUCAGGGUUGGGUGUUGUAUUAAUAGAUCAAGUUAGUUGGGUCUGUCCCAUUACGCAGGGGUGAGACUGUAAGUAUAAGGGGUUAACCCCAAAACCCUAACGGGUACUCUUACAGACACAUUUAUAAAGAUCAUUGCAUCACCCAGAACUAAUUCCCCUUUGCCUUUCUAUUUCAAUUAUCCACACAGGCCCCAGUUUUACAGCAGUUUCAUGCAUGGAGGACAUACACCAAUCAGCUCCUAGUUGCAUUGAUGACAUCCUUGCACUGCAACCCUAUGAAUGAAAAGACACAUCAGGUCAAUAGGGGAGGUCUGAAGAUCAGUUUUUGGAAUUCUCUGUGGCAGUCCAUAUCUAGUUGAAAUGCAACAGCCUAGUAUUGAAAACUUGAAAAAGAAUUCUGAUUGGGAAUACCUGAUUAAGCAGAUCAAUGAUUACCGUCUAGGAUUCUAUGCACCAUAGGAACAGGAAGCUUCAAGAACUAAAAUGUCACCUUCCGCAAUGCACGUAUAUGAGAUUUCCUUUUUAGCUGGUAUGUGCUUCACCGGAUUCUGAUCAAUACCAAAAGAACUUUUAAUUCUGACUCUUCUUUUUCCGGUUCAGAAAAUUAAGGCUAUGGGCUAUGGGU
rnacentral:lncRNA from 1 species